rnacentral:rRNA from 1 species
GAUGAACGCUAGCGGCAGGCCUAAUACAUGCAAGUCGGACGGGAUUCAGGAGCUUGCUUCUGAUGAGAGUGGCGCACGGGUGCGUAACACGUAUGUAACCUACCUUUAUCAGGGGGAUAGCCUCUCGAAAGAGAGAUUAAGCCCGCAUAAAAUCACAGCACAGCAUUGUGUAAUGAUCAAAUAUUUAUAGGAUAAAGAUGGGCAUGCGGAACAUUAGCUAGAUGGCGGGGUAACGGCCCACCAUGGCGACGAUGUUUAGGGGAUCUGAGAGGAUGGCCCCCGAGACUGGUACUGAGACAAGGACCAGAGUCCUACGGGAGGCAGCAGUAAGGAAUAUUGGUCAAUGGGCGGAAGCCUGAACCAGCCAUGCCGCGUGCAGGAAGACGGCGCUACGGGUUGUAAACUGCUUUUAUACGGGAAUAAACCCAGAUACGUGUAUCUGGCUGAAUGUACUGUAAGAAUAAGGAUCGGCUAACUCCGUG